rnacentral:lncRNA from 7 species
UCUGCAGCAAAGUCUUGGGCCUGCCUGACUUUAUGAGGCAUGAACCCGUACCCUAUGUGCAGAGUGCUAUAGCAGUUCACCAACCUGAUGUCUUUGUGCUGGACUAAGUCUUCUUGGUAGCUGUAACUUGUCUAGAUCUGCACCAAAGCAAGGAAAUGUUUAAGAAGUCCAGAAUGAAUGAACACAACAACAGAAGCAACUGGAAAGCAGUAGUCCCUAGAUGCAAGCUCUUCAAUAAUCUGGUUAAUACCAAAUUCUAUAAACCAAUGACUUCAAACUCUUAUGUUAGUGCAUUGCUGUUUUCUGUGGUGAUUUUUCUUUUUCUAUUUUCUUUUGGGAAAAAAAUGUGCUGGAUCAGUUAUUGCUAAGAAGCCCAGGGCCAACUCUUCUUCACUUCAGCAGCAGGAGCUUUGUGCCUUUGAAGCACAAGGAUUUAAGUUCCAUCCUCCCACCUCUGCAGUUUCUUUGGAGACCAAGGCAGUGUUGCAAUGCACUCCAUUAGACCUCGUGCUAUCCUUCACGCUUCGUAAGUGGCUGAUGCACUAAAUGUCCUUUACCCUUCUCCAUGCCGUCCCUCAAACAUCCUUACAGCUAAGGCUGGGUCAGGGCUUUGCCACACUGCCUGCCUCCAUCCUGGCAUGUUCUGGGGCAGCAGCACUGUGCAACCAGGGAGGUCUGCCUGCUGCUGAGGGACAGCAAGAAAUCACCUAUGACCUAAUGGCCUGCACUUGUUAUUUCUGAUAGUUAGCCAUUAAUUCUGAGAGUAAACAGCAGGUGGCUGGAGGCACGAGGUUUGUUGGGAAACUUGUAUAUUUUGUUUAAUGCCGUGGAUGUUUAUCUGUAUGGCCUUAGUAAAUCUUCAGACCUGUUACACUGCAUUAUGCAUGUGUUGCAUUGUAUUUAAUGGGUAUUCACUUAAAUUUUUUGAAGAACAUUUGGUUCAUUGCAAAUCUUAUUACGGCAGAUGCCUUGCAAGAACAAAAUCCUCAAGCGGUGUCAGCAAACUGAGCUGACUUUGUCCAAAUUUUGUGAUAUCUAGGCUUUGUGUUUGUAGAAAAUAAAUAAACUGCGGUUUUCUUUCAUUGGAG